rnacentral:tRNA from 1 species
GAGCCGUUAGCUCAGUGGUUAGAGCAUCUGACUUUUAAUCAGAGGUCGCUGGUUCGAACCAGCACGCUCA